UCCCAACACCAGAGGAAGAGAUCUCAAAGAUGAAAGUCUGUCUGCUUUUUUCUGAACGAAGUACUUCCUGUGGCAGUGGGUCCCCGGCUUAGAGUGAGCUGGAUUCCUCUGUGGAGAAGAAUAGACAUAGCACCACAAGUUCUGAAUUGGAAUGAAAGCUAUGACAUCAUCAUCUUAUGGAAC
rnacentral:lncRNA from 1 species